rnacentral:tRNA from 1 species
AGCCGCGUAGCUCAGUUGGAAGAGCAUUGGGCUAGUAUUCCAAAGGUCGUAGGUUCGAAUCCCACCGUGGCCG